rfam:Cajanus cajan CcLG11_50, whole genome shotgun sequence.
CUCCCUAUGAGGAAAGAUCUCCCAUAAUUGAUAGGAAGUGCCGUAUGACACUCUAAACGCAGUGCCGAUUCAAAGAACGUUCUCAUCCACCAAUUGUAGCUCUUGUUGCCAUUGGUCGAGAACGUUCUUUUCGGUGCUGUGUGUGUGAUUUGAAACGGGUCUCUGAGGGUU